rnacentral:piRNA from 1 species
AAACUCAGUGGGCUGUGUCUGGGAGUUA